CCCUUAGAUGUCCUGGGCCGCACGCGCGCUACACUGAGUGUCUGAGAUACGAGUCUGCCUGGUCCGGCAAGGUCUAGGUAAUCGCUAAAAGACACAUCAUGCUUGGGAUAGAUUAUUGCAAAUAUUAAUCUUGAACGAGGAAUCCCUAGUAGGCAUUACGUCAUUAGCGUGUGCCGAUUACGUCCCUGCUCUUUGUACACACCGCCCGUCGCUACUACCGAUUGAAUGGCUGGGUGAAGAAGACGGACACGGCCGCCCUAAAAAGCGGGCGUUGGAAGUCUUCUCAACCUAGGUCAUUUAGAGGAAGUAAAAGUCGUAACA
rnacentral:rRNA from 1 species